CAAUUCCCAAAGUCAGUAAUCACGUGAAUAGCUUCCAACAAUUGUACUUCCCAAAAUUAUUUUUUUAUUGAAUUAAAAAAACAAAAAUUCAUUUCUAACGCCUCUUUCUUGCUCUUAUGGGAUUUUAAUUUACCUAAUGUUUCUCUUCAAUCUCCUCUAAUUCACAAAUAUUGGGUUUUCAACUUUGGUAUCAAAUCAUCAAUAACUCUUAAUCUUUUAUUCUUCUGCUGGGUCGCUGGCUUCUGGCCUACUGUUGUGCUCUACUGCUCUGUCCGUCUGUCGUCACUCGUCCGCGUUCUUCCUGCCACCACCCGGCGCCCACCGGGGUCGCCGGCGUCUUCAAAGCUGGUCUAGUGGUCUCAUAUUCUCAUGGUGUCCUCUUAAUUUUUCAAAAUUUCAAUUUUUCAAUUUAUAUUGUUCAAUUUUAAUUAGGUUCUUCUAUUUUGUAAAUUAGAUUUUGGGUGAUUUCUAUCAUAGAAUUGAAUUAAUUUUAGUGUUUGGAUUAUUGAGUGGUUGAAUUUAAUUAAUUACUUGAUUAUUUGAUUUGAUUUGUAAUAUUAAUUCUAAGUUUAUACUUGAAUUUGAAUAUUUAAUUUUCCCUUUCCCCACCUAGACGAUUACAUAUUUAGUUGUCUAAACUCUAGACAUCUUGAAUAGCUGAAUUGAAUUUAGUUUUAGUUUUGGGUUAUGAUUAUGAGUAUUUGAGUGAUUGAAUUUAAUUUGUAAUUUGUGUACUUUAUUUGGGGAAGAAUAUUAUAUGUUUCUUGUUCAAGUUUGUAUUCUCAUGAAUUAUGAUUUAAUUGUUCAAGUUUCUUAGCUGCCCCAGUCCCUGCUACUCUGCUAGGCUGGUAUAUUAGUAUGCUAGAUUGGGAUUCUCUCCGUUCCAAGUUGUUAAAUAUUAGCAGUUUAGUAUGGGUGAUCAAGUAUCGAAAUAUUGUUUGGUCACUUUUAUAGAACGAUAUAUUUUUAUCCAAGUUAGUGAUGAUGCUAUUAUGAAGCGGUUUCAAAGAAUGCAAGAUCGUCGAGGGAAAAUGUAAUUUUCUACUUUUUUAAAUAUAUUUUCGUUAGUUUUAUUGUAUCUUAUGAACGAAUUUAUUAUUUUAUGUUUUGAAAUUUGUAGGUGACUUUUAUUUUUAUUUUGCAAUGAAGUUGCAUUAAAUUUGGAACCCCCAUUUUAUAAUUCCUGGGUCCGCCCCUGCUUAGGACCCGUUUGAUAUCACUGCGAAAAGUCAAAAACCUUAAUGUGAGUUUUGAUAUAUGUAUCUUCACCCAAAUUCCUUUUGUUGACAUUUAUUUUGCCGUUGUUUUGGCUUUAUUUUAUGUAGACAUAUAUUGCAGUUUUCUACCAUGAUGCUUUGCUACAUUGCAAUAUUAUGACACUUCACAAAGUUUUGAUCCACCGUCGGAUAGAGGUUCACAUAUAAGUAUAUUGAACAUGAAUGACUAAAUUCUACUGAAAUUGUGAUGGGGUAACGUGUUGAUAUCUACUUGUACCUAGAGCCACAACACAAUAUAUGAUUAUUGAAAUAUGCAUAUGAAUAAGCCGGAUGGGCGUACGUAUUCCAUAUCCAUUUUUAUAUCAACCUAUUGGCCUUCGUUUAUUAGUUCGGAUUUUGGCUAAUCUCUUUUUGUAUGUCAACAGAGUAUUUGCUGACUUAUGUGGACGAGUUCAUUGACGAACUUCAUUCAUGCCACAUUGCCAUGCCUCGUAUUAAGAAAAGGUGCUGGAGUCAUAUUUGAUGUGUACAGUAUGCAGUGUCAGUCUUUAUAAUCUAUAGGUAGUUAGUUAACAAAAUGGUGUGGUUUACCUUAGAUACAAUUAUAAUUUUUUGAACUGUUCGGUGAGCUUGAUUAUCCUUUUUCAUUUGCACCCUCUGCGCAUUUAAAUGGAAGUAAUACAAGUUAGUGUUCCCAUUGUACACCUUUUUAUUUGUUAAUGCAUUUCCCUCCUAUCAAGACUCAAGAAGAAGCACAAUAAGCGUUCAUCCUUUGGGAAGGUAAGGGUGAAUUCAAUAGUACAUAAAGAGUAUCUGAAAUACGCUACGCCGGCAUGCAUCAUAUCGGAGGUGAACUUGAAUAUAGAUUGGUAAUAUUUUUCCCAUCAUGAUGUUGUUUAUAUAUGAAAACACUACUUGAGAAUGUGAGGGAUAUGUCUCAUGCUAAUUUCCUUGGUAAUGUUUUUCCUCCCUCUAUUAUUUCUUUUCUUCAUGAACUUCCAUUACCAUUCAUUAUUACCUUAGACAUGAUAUAAAUUGGUUAAGAGCAUUAAUUUUUAUGGAAAUUGGCAUGGGAUAUCUUAUCGCUUGAUUGAAAUCCUUGCAUGGAUCCAUGAUUGCGAAUUGAUUAACUAUAAUCAAAAUGUCCUCUCUUUUCUCUUUUCUAAGUAUCUCAUGACUUAUUAUAAUCAUUUUUCCUCUCUUUUCAACUUUUUUGCAAAACGAUGACCCAACUUGGUUUUACUUGGAUAUUAACCUAUUCCAAGAGAUCAGAACUGAAGAUGGUUAACACUUCGCGAUUUUUUGUUGAGAAUUUACAUGUGAUUAAUAUUUUUUAUUUAUUGAUUAAAAAGGUAGCCUUGUCUAAACUUAAUCAAAGGUUUAGUAUGGAGUUAGGCUUAGGCUUCAGCUUAUUGACAGACAUGCCAAACAAAAAUUAAUGAUUUAAUUAGUAUGGAGAUAUAAAUAGGAUAUUAAAGGGAAAUUGUUUUUUUCUUUUUUAAGUUUUGGAAGCUGUAGUGAUUAAUUAAUAGAAAAUAUUAAUUGUAUUGGAUUUUCUAAGGUAUAAAUCUAAAACGAGUGAACAUGUAUUAAUGUAAUUUUAGCUGGUUGUUAAUAGUUAGAUUAUUGGGAAUUCAAUACAAUAGGUAUUUUUUUCUUUUUCAUUAUUUUAUGUGGUUCUCUUCUCAAUUUUUAUACAUUCAAUUCCUUGCUUUUAUUUGGGGUCUUGUUAUUUCCUUCGUCUUGCUGUACUCGGUGACAUUUUUUGGGUUCUGUUUUUUUCCUUUCUCAUUUCAAAGGAAAAUAUCAAGUGGAUGUCAUAGUAAGGCACUAAGAUUCUGGUUAUGACUUGUGAUUUUAACUUUUUUGAAAUUUAUUGCUUUUGGAACUAAAUCCAACAUCAGGUACAAUGUUCCAUAAAGAGUAUUGACAUCAUAGAAAUAUUACCGAGCAUGCUGUCAGGGUUUGUAGAUAAGGAAUAAUGGAGGAGCUAGCAACUUUUGUUUGUUAAGAUAAAGAAAUUGAGGUGGGUGAUAAAAGGUUUGAGAUUUUGUGGAAGAAUGGGAAAAGAAGAUAGAAUAGAGAAGAUGGUUUAGCGUCAUAGGAGGGAGAUUAAAAAAAGGGGUGGGGAACUUGAAGGAGGAGAGGGCGAACUGGAGAAAGAGGCGCAUGAGAAUUGAGGAUGAAAUUACAGGGUUUUUUUGUGUGAAUGUUGUUUGUUAUUGAGUUAGUUACAGUGUGGUUUAAUUACUCUUAUGGCAUGUGCAAUUGAAAAUAUACUCAUUGGUCUUUGUAGUACCAUUAUGUGAGUAUGUAUCAUAUACGGAGUAUAUCUUUCUGAACCUACACAGUUGAGAUAAAGUCAUACUAUAUCAACCUUUCUUACUAACUCGGUAACUCCAUAUGAUUUUCAGGGUAUUGUCCUUCAUUUUAAGAGUUCAUGGUUGAUCAUUUGCAAGAUUCUUGAAGGAACAUCGCCAGUAUUUGGUGUUCAUGAAUCCUUAUUUACUGUUGUUAAAGAGAAAAGAAUAGAACUCCCUCCCCCGUGUAUAUAUAUUUAUAUAUUUAUCUAUUUUACCAAAAGUCUUCUCGGUACUCUGUUUUCUUUUGUUUGUUGUGUAUACAUUUUGUCUAUCUCGACUAUUUAAGGAGUGUACAAUCAAAGUUAAAUAUCUUUGAGCGAACUACAAAC